rnacentral:tRNA from 1 species
GCCGGCCUAGCUCAGUUGGUAGAGCAGCUGAUUUGUAAUCAGCAGGUCACUGGUUCGAGUCCAGUGGCCGGCUCCA